GUCUACAGCCCUAGCACCCUGAACACACCCGAUCUCGUCCGAUCUCGGAAGCAAAGCAGGGUCAGGCCUGGUUAGUACUUGGAAGGGAGACCG
rnacentral:rRNA from 1 species